UUAAGCAUAUAAGUNAGCGGAGUGAUAAGAAACUAAAGAGGAUUCCGUGAGUAAUGGCGAAUGAACUCGGAGCAGCUCAAAGUGAAAAUCAAGGCCCGCGGCCUUGAAUUGUAAUUUGUAANUGCGUUGCCAACGCGGGCGCAAAUACAAGUCGCUUGGAAGAGCGCACCACAGAGGGUGAGAGUCCCGUCUUUAAUUUGCAGCCCCGUGUGUACGGCACGCUGUGCAGAGUCACGUUCCUUGGGAAUGGAGCGCAAAGUGGGUGGUAAAUUUCAUCUCAAGCUAAAUAUGAAUUUGAGACCGAUAGCAAACAAGUACCAUGAGGGAAAGGUGAAAAGUACUUUGAAAAGAGAGUUAAAAGUGCCUGAAAUUGCUGGAAGGGAAGCGAAAGGAACCAGCCUUCAUGGUAAGAUUGUCGUGUGAGCUUUAUAGCCGCACAAUGCAUCUGGCCAUGGCAAUCGUCGGUGGUCUCCAGCCGGGGAUACACGUAUCUCUUCUCAGCUUCUUUCGAGAUUGCGGAAGUGAUGCCUAAACCCGUUUGGCGACCAUAUCCUAUCUGGAGUUGCUGCUAGCUUCGCGCUUGCAUCUAACCUGGAUGCUCGACGAUCAAAUGGUUCUUCUCGACCCGUCUUGAA
rnacentral:rRNA from 1 species